AAAGACUCAUGAAGGCUUAAAAUAAGACGUUUUUCCUUACCAUGCUUUUGAUUGUCAGCUUUUACGUAAUAUGACACAUUUCGUGAUUUUUUCCGUACCUGGGAGUUUCUAAUUCUCAUAAAACCAGCUGAGGUCAAAUAAGCCGAACCAGCUGUCCACUUCGGGUAGUUUAUUACACCAUGACCUAUUUAAAAACCAUUCAAAGAUACGAGACUUGCGUGGCUGUUUGCGCGUGUACCGGAGGGAAGGAAUGAAGAAUUGUGAGUUCAAGAAAUACUCUUCUUACUCAGUACCAUCUUUGUCGGCGCGCGCAUCGCAGCGCAAGCAUCCGCUGAGCGCACAGUCAAAAACAAGUGAAUGCGGUCCAUUUCUAAUUCUUUGAUGAGGAUUUACAAGUUCAAAGGACCAGUUCAAAGCUUCCCACUUAUUCCAAGUCAUGAAACUCGCAAAGGACACAGUAAAGAGCGGAAAGAAGAAACAUAACAAGUAGGUAUCGAGAAGACGAAGUCAUUUUCACGGUGUCUUUGAGGCAAGUAAAACCGGGAUUGCUUCCUAAUCUGAAAAUAAGAUUUUCACAAAUUGUCGCCGAUUGUCGGGGUUAAUCUGUGAUCUUCAAUAUAAAAUGAAAUUAAUCCCUAAUACUAAGAGGAUAGAUUGGUUUCACUUAAUUGUCUUAUGAUAUCAGUGACUAUAUCAAAUUAUCGAAUCUGAUUGACUCUUAACAUUGACAAAACAAAAAGAACUCUACCAGCCACGGACUUCAUCGUCGAAAAAUUAAGAUCAACUAAACUGGUGCUGGGACCAAUUGGUGAAGAAAAUUUAUGUGACAUUUUUUUUCAAGUUCAGCCUGAUAAGGUUCCUUAGAAACCAAGUAGUGAGUUCGUAAUAUACCCUUAGUUGGUGCAGACCGUGAUGCAAACAGCGACUGUUAAAAGUUGCGUACAUAACUGAAGUGAUCUCUGUCUUUAAAUCUUUCUCCCACAGUACAAAGGUAUAUUUUAUAUAUUUAUUUUCAUAUCCUCAUCCUCAACGGGUAUAUUACAAAUUCAUGACUUGCUUCCAGUUACCUUGAAAGCUCAGUUGGUUGAGCACUGCACCGGUAGCGCAGAGUUCGUGGGUGCGAAUUUUGAAUCUCUCUCCAUAUUCCCUUUCAUGAAGGAACACAAAUUGUUGUAGUCUGGUAACAGAUUAAUUAGAUUUCUAAAAGCCAGGGUAAGGCGCGCAGUGCUGCUGAUAGCUAGUGAACACCUGUUGAAUUAAAAUUGUUGCAUGAGUUGAACCACGGGCCUUAACCUGAAAUAAAUGUUUGGCCGGCUUUCAACUGCCACCCCCCAUUCCCCCAGCCCCGCCCAGCACACACAUACACUCCCGCCUAAUGAAUAAGGAAGUUUUUCAUGUAAGUAUUUACAUUUUGUCCUUUCCAACGGAAAGUAGAGGGAUAUUGGAUAGAAGUGCGAAGGGCGAUGAAGGAGAGACGCUUUGUGUUGCAUACACUUAUAUAAUCCGUAUUGUUAUGGACAGUUCAUGCACCAUACAUGAACAAGAACUCAUAUCAAUUCUGUUCAGUACAUGUCUCUUGUAUAUCGUUUCCUUUCCGCCAAAUUGUGAGUCUUUCCUUCUCCCUUCCAAGAUAGUGUAUCGUCGAUCCAAUUCAUAGGUAAAGCCAAAAACAACACCUGUUGUUUUAAAUCAGAGAUAAAGAACUUUGCAGUUUUAGGAGACGUUUCAAGGUAAAAAGAAAGAAGAAUAAUGGCUGCCAACAUGUUGAGGUUGUGGAUGCGUCCAGCUCAAAUUCUUCAUCAUCAAGGAUCAUCUUUCAUUAGGCAAGCAUCUACAUGCACAAGUACUGGUGCUAUUUUAUCCAAGCCAGAGAAGAAACGCUUUGGGUUGGUGAAAGUCACUUGCAUUGUGAUUCCAUUUUUGUACGUGGGAGGCAUGAUUUCUCGUGAAGGAGCUGCAUGGCUAGAAGAAAAUGAUAUUUUCUCACCUGAAGAUGAUGACUAGCAUCAUUACUGGACAAACAUGUGUGGAUACUUUCAGUUGUAAAUAUAUUUAAAUUGAAGUGUUCAACUUUGUAUAAUCCUUAACUAGACUCCCAGGUGCUAAGAUAAUGUGGAAACAUAGUAUGAUAGCAAGGUGAUCUUGUAAUAAUUUUACCAGAACCUAUGAAUGGUUAAUACUUGUCUUAAAUAUAAUUUAGAACACUCCCAAUAAGAAAGUGCACACUUAAAGCUGUACUUCUAUAGUAUAACUCAAUUAUAGACAAGGAACUAGCACAAGCUGUUGACGUAAUGAUGGCGCCAGCAAAGAGAAUUUACUGUACAUUUUAAUAAUCAAAAUAAAUGAGGGAUUUUCCUUUCUUUUUGUUGCAGUGUUUUCUAAAAUAAA
rnacentral:lncRNA from 1 species